rnacentral:rRNA from 1 species
GACGAACGCUGGCGGCGGGCUUAACACAUGCAAGUCGAACGGAAAGGCCCUGCUUUUGUGGGGUGCUCGAGUGGCGAACGGGUGAGUAACACGUGAGUAACCUGCCCUUGACUUUGGGAUAACUUCAGGAAACUGGGGCUAAUACCGGAUAGGAGCUCCUGCUGCAGGGUGGGGGUGGGAAAUUUUCUGCGGUUGGGGAUGGACUCGCGGCUUAUCAGCUUGUUGGUGGGGUAGUGGCUUACCAAGGCUGUGACGGGUAGCCGGCCUGGGAGCGUGACCGGCCACAUUGGGACUGCGAUACGGCCCAGACUCCUAUGGGAGGCAGCAGUGGGGAAUAUGGCACAAUGGGCGGAAGCCUGAUGCAGCAACGCCGCGUUCGGGAUGACGGCCUUCGGGUUGUAAACCGCUUUCGCCUGUGACCAAGCGUUAGUGACGGUAAUGGGUAAAGAAGCACCGGCUAACUACGUG